AGGCUUAACACAUGCAAGUCGAGGGGCAGCACGGUGUAGCAAUACGACGGGUGGCCGGACCGGCGCGACGGGUGAGUAACGCGUAUGACAACUUGCCUAUCAGGAGGGGGACUAACCGUCGAAAGACGGACUAAUACCGCAUGAAACGACGGGGUCCCGCAUGGGAAUAUUUGUUAAAGAUUUCAUCGCUGAUAGAUAGGCAUGCGUUCCAUUAGGUAGUUGGCGGGGCAACGGCCCACCAAGCCGACGAUGGAUAGGGGGUUCUGAGAGGAAGGUCCCCCACACUGGUACUGAGACACGGACCAGACUCCUACGGGAGGCAGCAGUGAGGAAUAUUGGUCAAUGGGCGAGAGCCUGAACCAGCCAAGUCGCGUGAGGGAUGACGGCCCUACGGGUUGUAAACUGUCUUUUAUAAGGGAAUAAAGUUAGUCUCGUGAGACUUUUGCAUGUACCUUAUGAAUAAGGACCGGCUAAUUCCGUG
rnacentral:rRNA from 1 species